GACGUAGGGGGCGAGCGUUGUCCGGAUUUAUUGGGCGUAAAGAGCGCGUAGGCGGCCCGGAAAGUCGGAUGUGAAAACCCGGGGCUCAACCCCGGGCCUGCAUCCGAUACUCCCGGGCUGGAGGCAGGUAGGGGAGAUCGGAAUUCCUGGUGUAGCGGUGAAAUGCGCAGAUAUCAGGAGGAACACCGGUGGCGAAGGCGGCAUCCUGGACCAAUAUUGACGCUGAGGAGCGAAAGCCAGGGGAGCAAACGGG
rnacentral:rRNA from 1 species